rnacentral:rRNA from 2 species
UGGAUCCAGACUUUGAUUCUGGCUCAGGAUGAACGCUAGCUACAGGCUUAACACAUGCAAGUCGAGGGGAAACGAUAUUGAAAGCUUGCUUUCGAUGGGCGUCGACCGGCGCACGGGUGAGUAACGCGUAUCCAACCUGCCCAUCACUUGGGGAUAACCUUGCGAAAGUAAGACUAAUACCCAAUGACGUCUCUAGAAGACAUCUGAAAGAGAUUAAAGAUUUAUCGGUGAUGGAUGGGGAUGCGUCUGAUUAGCUUGUUGGCGGGGUAACGGCCCACCAAGGCGACGAUCAGUAGGGGUUCUGAGAGGAAGGUCCCCCACAUUGGAACUGAGACACGGUCCAAACUCCUACGGGAGGCAGCAGUGAGGAAUAUUGGUCAAUGGACGAGAGUCUGAACCAGCCAAGUAGCGUGCAGGAUGACGGCCCUAUGGGUUGUAAACUGCUUUUAUAAGGGAAUAAAGUGAGUCUCGUGAGGCUUUUUGCAUGUACCUUAUGAAUAAGGACCGGCUAAUUCCGUGCCAGCAGCCGCGGUAAUACGGAAGGUCCGGGCGUUAUCCGGAUUUAUUGGGUUUAAAGGGAGCGUAGGCCGGAGAUUAAGCGUGUUGUGAAAUGUAGAUGCUCAACAUCUGCACUGCAGCGCGAACUGGUUUCCUUGAGUACGCACAAAGUGGGCGGAAUUCGUGGUGUAGCGGUGAAAUGCUUAGAUAUCACGAAGAACUCCGAUUGCGAAGGCAGCUCACUGGAGCGCAACUGACGCUGAAGCUCGAAAGUGCGGGUAUCGAACAGGAUUAGAUACCCUGGUAGUCCGCACGGUAAACGAUGGAUGCCCGCUGUUGGUCUGAAUAGGUCAGCGGCCAAGCGAAAGCAUUAAGCAUCCCACCUGGGGAGUACGCCGGCAACGGUGCAACUCAAAGGAAUUGACGGA